UUUGAUAAAAACACAUGAAAAAACUAACAUAAACUAUUCACUUUUGUAGUAAUUAAGCCAAUAUUCGAAAUCCUUAUAGCUAUAAAUAGCCUCAUAAACCGUUAGAGCCCACUACCUUCACCACUUCUACCACUCCAUCUUCCAACUUGUUCUCUAAUCCCUCUCUUCCAGUUUCUUCAACAUUUUUUCAACAAAAUGUCAAACAAUUACUAUCCUCUUCCCUUUCUCUUCCUCCUAAUCACACUAUCUUGUUCCUUCCAUUUCUCAACUGCAAAAUCAUCCACAUACAAUGUAAUCAAAUUCGGAGCCAAACCUGACGGAAUAACCGAUUCCACAGUUCCUUCCAUUUCUCAACUGCAAAAUCAUCCACAUACAAUGUAAUCAAAUUCGGAGCCAAACCUGACGGAAUAACCGAUUCCACUAAAGCAUUCCUGAAUGCUUGGACUAAGGCAUGUUCAUCGCCGUAUCCCGCAGCAAUUUACGUUCCGCAAGGGAAAUUCUU
rnacentral:lncRNA from 1 species